CAGCCACUGAGUUGUACCUUAAGUGGUGAAUGCCCAGUACACAUCAGUAGCUAAAGACAGAUGUCAAACUGCUGAAUAUAUGAAGGAAAAAUAUAACCUAAAAAGGAUAUCCAUGUGGCAUCACACUAGGACUGAAGGUGUCUUGCAUCUGGAACCGGGAUGAAAACCCAUCUCAUUUCCCUAUCCCUGACAGGCACGAGGAGUUUUGUUUACAAAGCCGAAGGCAAGAAAACAUGUGCAGUAGGAACAUUUGUCAUGAGA